rnacentral:rRNA from 1 species
AACCUGGUUGAUCCUGCCAGUAGUCAUAUGCUUGUCUCAAAGAUUAAGCCAUGCAUGUCUCAGUAUAAGUGUUUCACUGCGAAACUGCGAAUGGCUCAUUAAAACAGUUAUAGUUUCCAUGUCAGUUGUUAAUUACCUGGAUAUCCAUGGUAAUUCUAGAGCUAAUACAUGCGUCCAAACCCGACUUUUUGGAAGGGUUGUGCUUAUUAGACACUGAACCAACCCGGGUUUCCCGGUUUCGAGUUGAUUGAUGGUAAUCGAACGAAUCGCAUGCUUCGGCGGCGAUGAUUCAUUCAAGUUUCUGACCUAUCAGCUUUCGACGGUAGGGUAUUGGCCUACCGUGGCAUUGACGGGUAACGGAGAAUUAGGGUUCGAUUCCGGAGAGGGAGCCUGAGAAACGGCUACCACAUCUAAGGACGGCAGCAGGCGCGUAAAUUACCCAAUUCUGAUUCAGAGAGGUAGUGACAAGAAAUAACAGACCGAUACUAUGUAACGGGGUUGCAAUGAGCCGAAUUUUUCUUCCCUUGGUGAGGAGCAAUUGGAGGGCAAGUCUGGUGCCAGCAGCCGCGGUAAUUCCAGCUCCAAUAGC